rnacentral:rRNA from 2 species
UUUAAUUGAAGAGUUUGAUCAUGGCUCAGAUUGAACGCUGGCGGCAGGCCUAACACAUGCAAGUCGAGCGGUAACAUUUCUAGCUUGCUAGAAGAUGACGAGCGGCGGACGGGUGAGUA